rnacentral:rRNA from 1 species
UACGGAGGGGGCUAGCGUUGUUCGGAAUUACUGGGCGUAAAGCGCACGUAGGCGGCUUGGUAAGUUAGAGGUGAAAGCCUGGAGCUCAACUCCAGAAUUGCCUUUAAGACUGCCGAGCUAGCAGGUGAGAGAGGUGAGUGGAAUUCCGAGUGUAGAGGUGAAAUGCGCAGAUAUCAGGAGGAACACCGAUUGCGAAGGCAGCUCGCUGGGACGUUACUGACGCUGAGACGCGAAAGCGUGGGGAGCAAACAGG